AUUCUGGUGUUUUCUUCCAGGGUGAACAGAGUGAGAAAGGCUUCCACUAUGAUCUCUGGUUGUGUCUACAUCUUAGAGUUCCAGGGGUCUCUGGGCAGGAAGACCAAAAUGCUUGUCUGGCAACUGUCCUCUUCAUGCUGAUUCCUGGCUGUGGCAUAGGGAACUGGAGCUCGAAUGUGCCCUUUGUCCUCUCUGUACCACGGAGUCCACUUCCAGGUUCAAGACAGUUUCUGCAGAACUCCUGAAGGACAACAAAGGGAAUAAAGGGAAUAAAAAGAAAGCCACAAGACAUAAACACAGAAAACAAGGGUGAGAAAGCGAAGCAGACAACAGACGGAGGAUCUAAGUCUGAAAGGAAGGGAAGAAGUAUGAAAAGAUGGAGAUAAGUGGAAUGUCUGGGGACCCGGAAGCUUAUGAGCAUAGAGACCAGAAUUCCCGGGGCAGUAGCUGAUCCUAGGAGGUGAAGUAUAUGUGCUGGUAGGUGUCUAAAAAGAUAAACGUUCAGGGACAAUUGGACAGGCUCUGUACCUUGAGAAGCAAGUUACUCACGGAUCUGAGUCCCCGGUGAUGAAUCCUCCGCACUGUGUCAAACAUGGCUGCCGCAAGAUAACAAAGCCCGUAUUUCUGACUUUAUAACUCUGAAGUCCGUGCUGCCUUGGGGGCUGGCACUGGCUGAGUCUUACCCUGGGCACCCCAGAACUGUAAAGCUGGCUAGAGCCUCCUUUACCUCGGUAUUUGUCCCAGAAGCCCCAAGCAUUCCUUAUAAGCCCCAAGCAUUCCUUAUCCCUUCGCUCCCAGACCAACAAACAAAAGGCACAUUGAGGUGUUGAUGAGAACAGCAAAGCAAUUCCACUUGAUGGCAGUAGAGUACUAGGAAUGCACAGGCACCCUUCUUCCAGGUUCACUCCCUCCGCCCUUUUAGGAAAAAAAAAAAACCUGAAAAAUGUCAACGUGACACUAAACUCCUAAAUAUCUUGGCUAUAAGUUGGCCCCACAUAGCCAGAGAAGAGCUUGGAAUCUUACUUUAUGGAUCUGGUCUGGAGGGUCUCAGACCCUAUAGGAAUCUAGGUCUCAAUAUAUUGAGACACUCCUCCACAAGGAUAAGGUCCAGCCUCAAGGUAUAAGGGCCAAAAACUGAAUAGGGACCUCCUUCUCUAGUUGCAAAAGUCAGGAGAAGCCACAGAAACAAAAUCUUAGGCAUAAAGUGGUCCUUGGCUAAAUACAGCACCACUCAUCCUACCAAAAUCACAGUACCCUGGACACUAGGCAUCAAGUCUGACCCAUAGAGUGACCAGGACCAAAUAUCCAGUGGCCUGCCACCUCAUUGUUGAGACUGUAAUGCUCAGAUGAAAAGGAUUCUACCCCUUUCUCCUCCAGACAGCCCUGCCGGGGCUUUCAAACUCUCCAUCUUUACCAAGAUCCAGCUCAAGGGGCACUUGUCUUGUUUCUGAUCAUGGUGAUUGAAAUCACUGUGAUUGGCCUGACUUCUCACUGACCUUAGACCACCCACAAUUAUAGACUUGUUCUAGAACCUACUUCUGGAAAAUACUUUCCAGGAAAAGGUCCCUGGCAUCAUGUCAUAAGCAAAGGCAUCCACCCUCUCACAACACCAGAUGCCACACUUCCAUGAUCUCAACUCCACUGAUGCACACACCUGUUCUUCAGCUGAGAGGCUGGCUCUCUAAGGGCUUUGAGCUCAGAGAAACAGCCCUUCUGUGUUUUAACUUAGGUCUAUCUUCCAUACCUACUAUAGGUAGGAUGCUUUACCGCAGUGUCUGGACCAUCAAUGGCCUUCCUUCUCUGCAGCAGAUACCCUCAGAAUGUACUUCCUAACAUACAAACACACAUACCAGCUCACCAUCAAUUUAAGGAAAAGAAUAGUCAUCCUCCACUACUUGCUAAAGUUGGGCCUCACUCUACUCAUAACUUCUCUAGUGGAUGACAGGUCACUUUCCCGCUUUUGGCAGCCAUCACAUGGUACAUGUGUAGGGGGCAGCUUUCUUGACCUUGAUCCUGGAUAUUCUCUGGUACUCUUGAGCAAGCUGACCUAGGAAAGAGAAGCCUCCAAUGGGGAUAACCUGCUUUAAGUCCAUUUUAUACCUACUGGUUUGGCCAGUGAGGCACUGGCAUUGAAAGCAGUCCACAUGACACCCUUCCUAUCUCACAACUACUUUGCUUGUUGACUCAGAACCACCCUAAGGAAGGACUCUGCCUUCUUUCUCUUCACACCCAGUUGGCUCACACAAGAAUGCUCCACCUGCAUCUUACCCUUGCAGUUAUUCCCAUUCUCUUGGAUUGUGCCAGGAUCCUGGGUUUCUUGGUGAACUCUUAGCUGAUAGGUAAAGGACACUGGACUCUUCAUACAGAACUUCUGAAGACAGCAAAAGUACAAAGGAGGAAAAAAGAAAGUCAAAAUACUGAAAAGAUGGAAAACAAGAAGCAAAAAGGAGAAGAUGAAGCAGAGAGAAACAGCUAAUGACAUCAGAAUGGGAGGCAGGAUGUGAGGCAAGCAGGACAGGAGGAAGGAAGGGACGAAGGACAAGUUGAAGGAGGAAGGAAGAAAGGAAUGAGGGAAUGAAGAACUGACUGACAGAUAAAUGACAUCUUGGUGGUGCUUCUCGGGAUCUCCAAGCCCAUGAACAGAGAUAAAACUCCCAAGGGCGGAGUCUGAUUUCAGGAAAUAGGGGUAAAUACGGUUGAAAGUUAAAAAAAAAAAAUAAGAAGCUGGGUAUCCUGUUGUGACCACAUGC